rnacentral:rRNA from 1 species
AUUGAACGCUGGCGGCAUGCCUUACACAUGCAAGUCGAGCGGCAGCGCGGGGGCAACCCUGGCGGCGAGCGGCGGACGGGUGAGUAAUACAUCGGAACGUGUCCUUUCGUGAGGGAUAACCAGUCGAAAGACUGGCUAAUACCGCAUGAGAUCUCACGAUGAAAGCGGGGGACCGCAAGGCCUCGCGCGAUUGGAGCGGCCGAUGUCGGAUUAGCUAGUUGGCGGGGUAAAAGCCCACCAAGGCGACGAUCCGUAGCUGGUUUGAGAGAACGACCAGCCACACUGGGACUGAGACACGGCCCAGACUCCUACGGGAGGCAGCAGUGGGGAAUUUUGGACAAUGGGGGCAACCCUGAUCCAGCCAUGCCGCGUGUGUGAAGAAGGCCUUCGGGUUGUAAAGCACUUUCGGCCGGAACGAAAUCGCGCGGAUUAAUAACCCGCGUGGAUGACGGUACCGGAAGAAGAAGCACCGGCUAACUACGUGCCAGCCGCCGCGGUAA